rnacentral:sRNA from 1 species
CAAUCUACACUUACUCGCUGCCCAAACAUAAUUGUGCUUGAAGUUUCUGAGAAAUGCCUUGAAGAUGGACCUAUUGUCACAAUGAGUGAAGAAAUCAUACCUCCAAAUGAAUCACGCAGUAUUCUUGUAAGUUUUGAAUCUCUUGUUGGUAUAUGAGGACUAUUUUCUGCUAACGCGUUAAUGCAUUUGCCUAGAGAUGUUAAUGACAGAUUGAUGAACUUGGCUUCUUCAAUCAUGUGACCUUCACUUCCUGGGAGACAAAAGAUUAAUAUUACAAACAAACAAUACAACAUACGAAAUGAAAAGGUUUGUUUCAAUUAUAUGGUAAGACCUACCAGAUUUAUCGAUACGUUCUGAUCCAGCAAGGUCGACAAUCAAGAGCUUGCUCUUGAGAACAAGCGGAGCAUACAAUGAGAAUAGCAUGACUACGAGAUGAUUCUGUGUUCAUCUUAGUAUUAGCAGCAUGACGAUUCAUCUCACCAAUUUGGAGAAGUUGAAAAACAUGUUCAAGAUCUCUGAUUUCAACUUUUGCAGCACCAGGCAAAGAAACUUCACCAGUUUUUGGAUCCUCAACAAUCGGAAUAUUAGUCUUCUCUGGAGCAAGUAAAUCUUGCACAGAUUCUAAAAUAGAACCUGGAGAAAUGAUAUUGCCACACUAUCUGUCUCCAAAGACAUGACAGAAAGGAUAUGUUCCAAUGCUCUGACCAUUAUUCCACCUUCAGAAGGGUCGUCAUUUCCAAGCCGACCAACUGUGUAUGUCUUGCCAGUACCUGUUUGACCGUAAGCCAUCACGGUCCCAUUAUAUCCUUCUAACACGCUCUGCGAGAUUUAUCAGAAUAGUUUUGCAACGACCUCAUAUACACGUUUUUGUGAAGCAUUUUCACUGAAAACCUCAUCAAACCUAUAUGAUUCACAGCUCCAGUUGUUUUUCUUUAGCUUCAGCUUCUUACACUGCACACAAUAAAAAACAAGCAGAAUAAUCCGCGCCAUGAGCUAAGUCCUCAGAAUUCUUCGGCCGGAGCCUUACAGCAACUCUUACUCUGCACGAAUCU